rnacentral:rRNA from 1 species
GGGCCCGCACAAGCGGUGGAGUAUGUGGUUUUAAAUUCGGAUGCAACGCGGAAGAACCUUACCAGGGUUUGACAUCCUGCGAAUUUCUGGGAAACCGGAAAGUGCUUCGGAGCGCAGUGACAGGGUGCAUGGCUGUCGUCAGCUCGUGUCGUGAGAUGUUGGGUUAAGUCCCGCAACGAGCGCAACCCAGCGUCUUUAGUUGCCAGCAUUUUAGUUGGGCACUCUAGAGAGACCGCCGUGAUAAACCGAGGAGUGUGAUGACGUCAAGUGCAUCAUGCCCCUACAUCCUGGGCUACACACGUACUACAAUGCUACGGACAAAGGGCAGCAACUCGCGAGAGCUAG